rnacentral:lncRNA from 1 species
GGCCCUGGAAGCUGAAGAGCCUGCCCAGUGGGUGAGGACACGGUGCACCUGGGGUGCCGAGGAUGGCUGGGACGCUGCUACCCUUCCCUUGAGAGAAAUCUGGACACAGACGUAGACAGACGGAGAACAGCACAUGAUGAUGUGACAGAGCUUGGGGCGACGCAUCUACAAGCCGGGGACCCCACGAUUGCCACCACCAGAAGCUGGAGACACUCCUGGAACGGAAUUUCCCUCAGGGCCUCCAGAAGGAGGCAACCCUGUCCAUACCUUGACUUUGGACUUGUAGCUUACAGAACAGUAAUAGAAUAAAUUUCUGUUGUCUACUGUUUGUGUUAACUUGUUCCAGCAGCCCUAAGAAACGAAUACACUGUUAUUUCAACGCAGCAAAGCGAGCGCGGUUCUGGG